rnacentral:rRNA from 1 species
AUGAGGGAAUAUAAUAACCCUUGGAUCUACACAGGAGAUUUCAACAAAGUAUUAGAGGUUGAAGAGAAAUUUGGCAGUUUGGAGAGACAAGAAUGGAAGAUGGAGAGAUUCGGGCAGAUGAUGGAGAAGUGUAGAUUCUCUGACUCGGAGUUCCAGGGGCUGCCUUACACUUGGGACAACAGGCAGCAAGGUGACAGAAAUAUUAAGGUCAGACUAGACGGAGCGCUAGGUGACGAAAAAUUCUCUGAGUUUUUUGACAAUACUCUGGUUAAACACAUACAGUGUAUGGAAUCAUAUCAUUGUGCCCUGCUUAUUACAGUAAGAAAAUCUGAAUGGAUUGAUACAAAGAUACGAGGUAAACCUUUAGGUUUGUUAAUGCUUGGAUGA